rnacentral:lncRNA from 1 species
CCAAUAAGCUCGAUGCUCAAGUUCUACUGGGAGGUGGCAAGCUUUCCCAAACAAAAGACGAUAGAGAGACAUACCAAUGGGCGUUUUGAACGUGGUACGAUAAGUCCAUAAUACAUCAUCCAAUUUCUUGGACCAAUCGUUUCUAGGGGCACUCACCAUCAAUUCAAGAAUCCUCUUCAACUCCCGAUUCGAAAUUUCAACUUGGCCACUAGUUUGGGGAUGAUAGGGAGUGGCUACACGAUGCUUUACUCCAUAUUUGGUCAAUACUGAGUCGAAGAGGCGAUUACAAAAAUGUUUACCUCCAUCACUAAUGAUAGCUCGGGGGGUGCCAUAGCGAGAGAAAAUAUUUUUCUUUAAAAAAAUUACUACCACCCGAGCAUCAUUAGUGGGCAAAGCCACCGCUUCUACCCACUUUGACACAUAAUCAAC